CCUGGUUAUUAUAGUAAUGUGGUACCACCUGAAACCAUACCGAACUCAGAAGUGAAACACUUUAACGCCAAUGGUAGUACGGGGUCUCCCCGUGUGAGAGUAGGAAAUUUCCAGGU
rnacentral:rRNA from 1 species